rnacentral:rRNA from 1 species
CAACACUUGACAUGUUCGUCGCGACUCUAAGAGAUUAGAGUUUUCGGUUCGGCCGGACGAAACACAGGUGCUGCAUGGCUGUCGUCAGCUCGUGUCGUGAGAUGUUGGGUUAAGUCCCGCAACGAGCGCAACCCUCACUUUUAGUUGCCAUCAUUAAGUUGGGCACUCUGAAAGAACUGCCAGUGAUAAGCUGGAGGAAGGUGGGGAUGACGUCAAGUCCUCAUGGCCCUUACGUGUUGGGCUACACACGUGCUACAAUGGUAUCUACAACAGGAAGCAAGACUGCGAGGUCAAGCAAAUCCUUAAAAGAUACCUCAGUUCGGAUUGCACUCUGCAACUCGAGUGCAUGAAGCUGGAAUUACUAGUAAUCGCGAAUCAGAAUGUCGCGGUGAAUACGUUCCC